GUCCCUGUAGCUCAGUAGGAUAGAGCAACUGCCUCCUAAGCAGUAGGUCGGAGGUUCGAAUCCUCUCAGGGACG
rnacentral:tRNA from 1 species